rnacentral:rRNA from 1 species
UACGAAGGGGGCUAGCGUUGCUCGGAAUCACUGGGCGUAAAGGGUGCGUAGGCGGGUCUUUAAGUCAGGGGUGAAAUCCUGGAGCUCAACUCCAGAACUGCCUUUGAUACUGAGGAUCUUGAGUUCGGGAGAGGUGAGUGGAACUGCGAGUGUGGAGGUGAAAUUCGUAGAUAUUCGCAAGAACACCAGUGGCGAAGGCGGCUCGCUGGCCCGAUACUGACGCUGAGGCACGAAAGCGUGGGGAGCAAACAGG